rnacentral:rRNA from 1 species
UACAGAGGUCUCAAGCGUUGUUCGGAUUCAUUGGGCGUAAAGGGUGCGUAGGCGGCGCGGUAAGUCGGGUGUGAAAUCUCGGGGCUUAACUCCGAAACUGCAUUCGAUACUGCCGUGCUUGAGGACUGGAGAGGAGACUGGAAUUUACGGUGUAGCGGUGAAAAUGCGUAGAGAUCAUGAGGAAGACCAGUGGCGAAGGCGGGUCUCUGGACAGUUCCUGACACUGAGGCACGAAGGCCCAGGGGGAGCAAACGGG